rnacentral:rRNA from 1 species
GACGAACGCUGGCGGCGUGCUUAAUACAUGCAAGUUGAACGCUAAGGGCCUGUUUUUGUAGCGUCCUCGUGUGGAGAAAACGUGUGUAUAACGUGUGUGACCUCCCCUUGUCUUUGGGAUACCUUCUGGAAAAUCGAAUUCUAAUACCACAUGAACUCUUGAAGCACAGUUGUGGUGGGUGAAUUUCGGCGUUUCGUCAUUCACAUGCGGCUCAUCAGCUUGUUGGCGGGGUAGUGGCGUACCGAGGCUCUGACGGGUAGCCGGACUGGGAGGGUGACAGGCCACAUUGGGACUGGGAUACCGGCCGGACUCCAUCGGGAGGCAGCAGUGGGGAAUAGUGCACAAUGGGCGGAAGCCUUAUGCAGCGACGCCGCGUGCGGGAUGACGGCCUUCGGGUUGUAAACCGCGUUCGCCUGUGACGAAGCGUGAGUGACGGUAAUGGGUAAAGAAGCACCGGCUAACUACGUG